GAGCAGAGGCAGGUUGUUGUAGUAACGGAAACUCUGGUGGUGGAGGUGAGUACAGGGUCUGUGGGGAACGGUAAGCAUGCUGAGGAGGUGAGUACAGGGUCUGUGGGGAACGGUAAGCAUGCUGAGGAGGUGAGUACAGGGUCUGUGGGGAACGGUAAGCAUGCUGAGGAGGUGAGUACAGGGUCUGUGGGGAACGGUAAGCAUGCUGAGGAGGUGAGUACAGGGUCUGUGGGGAACGGUAAGCAUGCUGAGGAGGUGAGUACAGGGUCUGUGGGGAACGGUAAGCAUGCUGAGGAGGUGAGUACAGGGUCUGUGGGGAACGGUAAGCAUGCUGAGGAGGUGAGUACAGGGUCUGUGGGGAACGGUAAGCAUGCUGAGGAGGUGAGUACAGGGUCUGUGGGGAACGGUAAGCAUGCUGAGGAGGUGAGUACAGGGUCUGUGGGGAACGGUAAGCAUGCCGAGGAGGUGAGUACAGGGUCUGUGGGGAACGGUGAGGAGGUGAGUACAGGGUCUGUGGGGAACGGUAAGCAUGCUGAGGAGGUGAGUACAGGGUCUGUGGGGAACGGUAAGCAUGCUGAGGAGGUGAGUACAGGGUCUGUGGGGAACGGUAAGCAUGCCGAGGAGGUGAGUACAGGGUCUGUGGGA